AGCCUAACUCUAGCCCAACUAUAUCUUACCAAACCAAACUACCCUCCACCUACUAAACUAAAGCAUUUUUAUCUAGACCUAGUAUAGGCGAUAGAAAAGUUACUCUUAGGCGCAAUAGAGACACGUACCGCAAGGGAAAAAUGAAAUAACAAUGACAAAUUAAGCACCAAACAGCAAAGACAGACCCUUGUACCUUUUGCAUCAUGAUUUAGCAAGAAUCAGCCAAGCAAGACGCCAAUCCAAGCUUGCCAUCCCGAAACCCAAGCGAGCUACUUACGAGCAGCUAUCCAUUGAGCAAACCCGUCUCUGUUGCAAAAGAGUGGGGUGACUCGCUAGUAGAGGUGAAAAGCCAACCGAGCUGGGUGAUAGCUGGUUGCCUACGAAACGAAUCUAAGUUCCCCCUUAAUUCACCUCCAAGGACCCCAACACCCCUUAUGAAGCAAAUUAAGGGUUAUUUAAAGGAGGUACAGCUCCUUUAAAAAAGACAACACUUCCCCAGCGGAUAAGUAAACCCACCCCCAACCCAACUGUGGGCCUUUAAGCAGCCAUCACCAAAGAGUGCGUCAAAGCUCCAUCAAAAAAAAUUUUUAUUCUCCUACAACUCCCUCAUCCUUAGUAGGCUAACUUAUACCAAAUAAGAGAAUUUAUGCUAAAAUGAGUAACUAGGGCCCUCCCCCUCUAUGGCGUAAGCUUACAUCUCUACAUUAUCAACAAACCACAAGAUAUUCACCAACCCAACAAGAAUAAGUAUCAUUAACCCUGUUAACCCACCCAUGGCACGCCUAAAAGAAUGAUUAAAAUCUGUAAAAGGAACUAGGCAAACCCAAGGCCCGACUGUUUACCAAAAACAUAGCCUUCAGCAAACCAAGUAUUGAAGGUGAAGCCUGCCCAGUGACAAUAUACUGUUCAACGGCCGCGGUAUCCUAACCGUGCAAAGGUAGCGCAAUCAAUUGUCCCAUAAAUCGGGACCUGUAUGAAUGGCCAAACGAGGUCUUAACUGUCUCUUACAGAUAAUCAGUGAAAUUGAUCUCCUUGUGCAAAAGCAAGGAUAUACUCAUAAGACAAGAAGACCCUGUGGAACUUCAAAAUCAGCGGCCACUCUCAAGCAUCACACUCCUCCAUCGGACAUAUCUAUCUUACACACCACUGGCCCGCAUUCUUUGGUUGGGGCGACCUUGGAGAAAAACCCAUCCUCCAAAAAUCAGACCACCAGUCUUCACCAAGAAUAACCCAUCAACGUACUAACAGUAACCAGACCCAAUAUAAUUGAUUAACGGACCUAGCUACCCCAGGGAUAACAGCGCAAUCUCCCCCAAGAGCCCCCAUCGACAGGGAGGUUUACGACCUCGAUGUUGGAUCAGGACAUCCUGGUGGUGUAGCCGCUACCAAGGGUUCGUUUGUUCAACGAUUAACAGUCCUACGUGAUCUGAGUUCAGACCGGAGCAAUCCAGGUCGGUUUCUAUCUAUGACCAACUCUCUCCAGUACGAAAGGACAGAGAGGGUAAGGCCCAUGCUGUAAGUACGCCUUCACCUUCAGCAGUGAAUCCAACUAAAUUGCUAAAAGGACCCCCCCCCAUAUCCUAGAAAAGGACCG
rnacentral:rRNA from 1 species